UAACAUUUAAACACUGCUGUUUGAAUGUUAAAUAUGAUCAGAACAAAAAAUAUUACUGACUGUCUCUAGUGCAAGUAACAAAAAGCUUGGUGGUUGGUACUUGAGGUUUCAAGUUCGAAUUCUAAUUGAUUCACAUUUCUAACUAAGUUUAUUUCUAAAAAAAAAACGAAGUGGGUAGUAUGUUACCUUUCUCUCUCUAAAACAAACAGAAUAAAAUAUUUAAUAAUAGUUUAAUUUGCAUAAAAAUUUGAAUGUGAUUGAAAUACUAUUGAUAGUGUGAGAAUAAUAUUUGUUAUCUAUUUUUUUUAUCAUUAGAUGCCUAUGGUUAAGUAGUCGUAGCUGGAAUAGUAGUAAUUCAAUAUUGAAAAAAAGAUAGUAAUCAAUAGUAUAAUAACUCAACUCUAAAAAUUUUGUUAUUUGAUUGAGGGUAAGACUUUGAUUUUUCUUUUUUGGAAUAUCUUGAUAUACAUAAUUUAAUAAAAUAAUAUAUCUCAACUAUGAGAUGGUUUAUUUUAUUCUAAAAAAACUGAUUUAAAGGAUAAGUAUAGUAUUAUAUAUGUUCUAGACAUUUAAUUAUGUACACUCGUUAUCUAUUAAGUACUAGAAGCUUCUUGAAAAAAUUAAAAAAAUAUACGGAAUAAAAUAUUCAUAUAUCCAAACAAAUUUUAUUUGCAUAUCAGAAUAAGUUAUCCUGUGAUAAUUUGUUCGAUGUGAAAUUUUUAUUUUGUAAUUAAAGGCUAGCUAGAUGUUUGACUUUUGCACUUUAAAAAGUGUUGCCAUUUACGAUUUUAUAAAAUAAUAUAUUUCACCUGUAAAAUAAUUUAUUUUAUUCUUAAAAAAUAAU
rnacentral:lncRNA from 1 species